AGAGGAAGUAAAAGUCGUAACAAGGUUUCCGUAGGUGAACCUGCGGAAGGAUCAUUAUCGUUGGGCUUCGGCCCAUUCGAGAUAACACCCUUGCCUUUUUGAGUACCUUUUCGUUUCCUCGGCAGGCUCGCCUGCCAACGGGGACCCUUCAAAACGCUUUGUAAUACCUGUAAUCGUCUGAUAUAACAAGCAAAAAUCAAAACUUUCAACAACGGAUCUCUUGGUUCUGGCAUCGAUGAAGAACGCAGCGAAAUGCGAUAAGUAGUGUGAAUUGCAGAAUUCAGUGAAUCAUCGAAUCUUUGAACGCACAUUGCGCCCUUUGGUAUUCCUUAGGGCAUGCCUGUUCGAGCGUCAUUUAAACCUUCAAGCUCAGCUUGGUGAUGGGUGACUGUCCUCCCCUCGCGGGGGGACUCGCCUCAAAAACAUUGGCGGCCGGUACAUUGGCUUCGAGCGCAGCAGAAACGCGGUCUCGAGCCCGGUGGAUCGGCUCCCAUAAGCCUAUUCUUUUAUUUUGACCUCGGAUCAGGUAGGGAUACCCGCUGAACUUA
rnacentral:rRNA from 1 species